rfam:Populus trichocarpa scaffold_16_contig_75, whole genome shotgun sequence.
CCGCCCGUCGCUCCUACUGAUUGAAUGGUCCGGUGAAGUGUUCGGAUCGCGGCGACGUGGGCGGUUCGCCGCCAGCGACGUCGCGAGAAGUCCACUGAACCUUAUCAUUUAGAGGAAGGAGAAGUAUCUUCGCAAG